UACGUAGGGGGCUAGCGUUGUCCGGAAUCAUUGGGCGUAAAGCGCGUGUAGGCGGUCCGGUAAGUCCGCUGUGAAAGUCGAGGGCUCAACCCUCGAAUGCCGGUGGAUACUGUCGGGCUUGAGUACGGGAGAGGCGAGUGGAAUUCCUGGUGUAGCGGUGAAAUGCGCAGAUAUCAGGAAGAACACCCGUGGCGAAGGCGGCUCUCUGGUACGUGACUGACGCUGAGACGCGAAAGCGUGGGGAGCAAACAGG
rnacentral:rRNA from 1 species